AACCAUGUGAUGCUAAACAAUUUACUCCUGAGAUUUUCUGAGGACUUAACAAAUUCGAGCUUUUUAAAACUGAUGGUUG
rfam:Zea mays cultivar B73 chromosome 9, whole genome shotgun sequence.